rnacentral:rRNA from 1 species
UACGGAGGGUGCAAACGUUGCUCGGAAUCAUUGGGCGUAAAGCGCACGUAGGCGGCGCGUUAAGUCGGAUGUGAAAGCCCCGGGCUCAACCCGGGAAGUGCAUACGAAACUGGCGCACUUGAAUAUGGAAGAGGGUCGCGGAAUUCCCGGUGUAGAGGUGAAAUUCGUAGAUAUCGGGAGGAACACCAGUGGCGAAGGCGGCGACCUGGGCCAAUAUUGACGCUGAGGUGCGAAAGCGUGGGGAGCAAACAGG